UAGAAACUGUGUUAGAAGUGAGUCGAGUACAAGGACAAGUUUCUCGAAAAUGUAUGGCAAAGCAAUCAACGAAACACUACCGGAAAGGCCCUGUCCGAUGUCUUCAAAAUAGACAUUGGGAGAAUUAUUAGAGAGCGAAAAACAGGACUGACCUUGGCAACAUAUUUGUCGGACUGCUAGAAAUCAUUGGAGACAAUGAAAAUGUACAUUUUGAAGAUCGCUGUUCUGUUCGCAUUUGCCGUUGACCCGGUUCCCGCUCCGUACUGCCGAGCUUUUCCUCAUUGGCAGGUUUGCUUUGCUGCGAAUCAAUUGGCAGCCGACUACAACAUCAAGAGAGUGAGAUACACGAUCAACGUCAACGAAGUUAAUGAACCUGGAAACAAAUUCGUUUGUUGUUUCGCCAUCUGUUGCUACGACGACUCAGGAUGUGGUAUUCACUGGCCGUUCUUUAACCCUGUCUGUGGGGUAUCGUCGCUAAACAUAGGUUAUUGCAAUGCAUGGGAACUCGAUUAUAAGCCUGGAAUAAUGUGCUUCAGUAACUGGAACAAUCCGCCAACUCUGUCUUGGGAUUACACUGUAGAUUAUUAGUACUAGGAAACUGUUAGAAAAUGACUUGAUUUUCGACUAUGAUAAGUUUUCAAAAAUGACAGGUUGAAAUUACAACACAAUUAUCAUAUGUCUUUGCCAGAGUUCCUUGGCCGAGCAGUGUAUAAUGACUGGACAAUUCAUGGACAAGAUGUACCGGUAUCCGUCGUAUGCUAAGCAGACAAUAAUUAUAAUAGCAGUUGGCCUUGCUUAAAAAAUGACGUAUCUCUAACUAGAACCCCCAUUGUGUAUCAAAUUCUCUUAUGUGUUCGUGAUACGAAAAGUAUAUACAAUCUAACAUUAUCUUUAUUUCAUUACAGAAGAUGACGUGUGCGUUUGCUAUAGGAGACAAUAGGCACAAUGAAAAAUAUGUAAAGUUCUGUAAUAUUGAAACGAUUAGGCAAGCCUAUAGCCUAUGUGUACAAUAACAUAAUAAUAAUAAUAAUAAUAAUAUGAUUAACAAAUGAACAGACAGUUUUUAAUCAUAACAAAGGCCUAAUCUUUAUAAUCAAAUUGAUGGUUGAUUUAAAACACUGCAGUAUGUUGUAAAAUUGAUGAUAUUCCGUAAGUGUGAUGACGUAUCGGGUGACGUAACCAUGCGAUUUAAGAGUCAUAUGCGAUGGAAGAGAGCCAUGAAGAGAGUUCAACAGAAUCGUGGCUCUGGGAAAAAAACUUCAUUAAAAUUGUUUUGAAUGUAGGCCUAAGACAAUAUUCCGGUGGGGUUUUGCGUCCGGAGAUCUUUGUAAAGUGAGAUAAUGAAAGACUACUAGAAGCCAGUGAUUCAACCAAAUUAUUUUGAUAGUGGUAAGGGUCCUUUAUAAUCCUGAACUUUAAAAAAAUAUAUAAUAUAAAGCACGAUUUAAGUACGUCUAACAGCAUUUUAAUCAUAUUAUGUUGUAGGCAUAUGGUCAAUAAAGUAAGCAUGCAUGUAUGUGA